rnacentral:lncRNA from 1 species
UNAGGGUGGUGCCAAAACAAUCAGUGGGCUGCUUUAGUAAUCACACAUCCUUAAUCUCAGUACACACUAGAUUCAGCCACCUCUGAAAAAGCCCCAUCUAUGACCGCAUGAGGCUUUGGGGGGACAUCUAGACAUAACCCCUAAGCUAUAAAGAAAAGAGGUUUAUUUGCUUUCCCAGUUCUUGUUCAAAGUUAAGGGGUGAUGGUCUUCUUGCUGUAGAGACCCAGGAGUACAAUGUAGAUAUCACAUGGCAAGAGACAGGGACCACACACACUCGUGUGUGUGUGUGUGUCUGUGUCUGUCUGUCUGUCUCUAUCUGCAUCUGUGUGUGUCUCUGUAUCUUUGUGUGCAUGUGUGCAUGCAUGCUUCCUGAUCCCUCUGCUUCCUAUGAAGCUACCAGUAUUCAAUCAUAGAGACUCACCCUGGUGACCUUAAAUCAUGCUAAUAACCUCCCAAAGGCCCUGCCCCUAAACCCAUAGUUUAAAUUUCUACCCUCUGAAUCUAUCAUAUUGGGGAUUAUAUUUCAACAUGAGUUUCAGAGGGGCGAACCAUUCUCAAAGCACAGCAGCCCUCUUCCUGGCUUGGGGCCUUCUCACUGUGUCUUCACAUGGCAGAGAGAGAACUGCACAUGGAAGCCUGCUGGUGUUCCUUAAAAGGACACUAGUCCCAUGAGGAGGACCCACCAUCAGCACCUCUCUAAACCUGAUUACCACCCAGAGGCCUCAUUCCUAAAUGCCGUCAUCCUGGGGGAUGUGGCCAUAAGAGGAGGGACACAGGUGGACUUUUUACUUCUGGCCUGGCUGUCAUCUGCAACUAAUGUGGUGAGGCUCCAGGUCGGAAAGAUGUGAUGGAGAGCCUAGAGGUUGGAAGGGAUACGUGGGGAGAAGGCAGCAGGGGUACACUUGGUUAGAUGACUGAACCCCAGCACUUCAAGAGGAUUUUAAACAGGCCUGAAGGGACACCAGUGCUAGUGCCCAGCUUCAGAUGACCAGGCUGUGUUCCUGCUUUCAUUUUAACAGUGCUAGCCUGGAUGUAUUCCACCAAACUUUUACAUUUGUUUGUUUGUAUUACUUUUUUUGAGAUAGAGUCUCACUGCAUAGCCCAGUCUGGCCUGAAACUCAUAAUCCUCCUGCCUCAGCCUCCCAAGUGCUGGGAUAUAGGCAUGUACUACCAUGCCUGGCUUCAUUCUCUUAUUUUUGAUGCAUAUGUGUCUUUUAUUCAAAGUGAAACAUACAGUCUUGUGUUUUUUUACUGUUAUAUUCUGUUUUUAUUGUUAUAUUUUAGAACAUUUAAAGUGGUUAUUAGUAUAUGGG